UUUCCGUAGGUGAACCUGCGGAAGGAUCAUUCAUAAUAAGUGUAUUAUGGCACUUUUUUAAAUCCAUAUCCACCUUGUGUGCAAUGUGAGGGUUGAUUUUUCUCUGGAGAGUAUCAGUCUCAAACAUCAACUAUAUCUCAACUCUUUGUCUGAAAAAUAUUAUGAAUAAAACAAGUCAAAAUACAACUUUCAACAACGGAUCUCUUGGCUCUC
rnacentral:misc_RNA from 1 species